GACGUGACGGAGGCAAUGAUCGAUUGCCUCGGUCCAGCGUGGGUGAAGUUCCCGUAGACGGAGUAAGAGAAGGCGGCAGCCAAAAGGAAAUUUUACCUUUUGGUGCGGCUUCAGUGGCGUGAUCGGUUUGCAACGCCGAUUUGAGGAUCACGAGCUUCGAUGGGACAUUUCCAGGGUCGGUGCAAGACUCGUUUGUGUGGCGGGCAUCCCUUCUGAGAGAGGAGUUUGUCGCCGGGAAGCUCAUUCAAGCUAACGAGUGCCUGCUUGGUGACAGCAGCUACCCAUUGGAGCCGUGGCUGCUCACCCCGGUUGCAGGCAACCCAGCUGGAGCCGAAGCCGCUUUCAAUAGAAAGCAUCGGUCCACCCGCUCAAUUGUGGAGCGAUGCAUCGGCAUGCUAAAAAACAGAUUUAGAUGCCUACAGAGAGCCUGUUCCCGAGCCCCUCGUGUCUGAUGAGUCGGAUUCCGAGGACUGUGAGGGGUCAGACAGCAGCGACAGUGAACCCCAAGCCCGGACCCUGAGGGAGAGAGGGCAAGUGAUGCGGCGGCGCAAAGUGAGGGAGGUGGCUGCCUCCGCUCGCCACGCACGCCCUGCUCGUCGGGGUCGUCCUGCCCAUCGGGGUCGUCCGUCUCGACGGGGUCGCCGUGCUCGCCCUGCACAAGUGCAAAACCCUAUCCAGGCUACUUAUUUUUUUUAACGUCUGGGGGACUUCCGUUGCAGUGGCGGGAGGAACCAUUUCCUCUGAGCGUCAAUCAUUUGAGAGGUUACCGACUAUCAGCACCACAGCUGAGCACAGUGCUGUUGGGAAUAUUAAGGUCACUCAGCCAGAUGUUGAUAGCCGCUAACCUUGUAACUUGCUGGCAAUCAGUGGAAGUGGUUUCUCUUGCCACUGGCAUGAUGUGUGCCGCAUGUAGUGCAUGGUAACAUGCCCCUGCUGGUUUGUUGGCUUAGUCCAUGGCUAUGUUUAUCAUAUUAGUGCAAUACACUUUUCCCUGUGCUUGAUUCUUUGAGUCCUCCUUUGCAACCUGUCUGAUGUGAUACAACUUUGUCUGUACA